GGGGGGAGCGGGGGGCCCCUCUGCCCCAGAGGGGAGCCGGGGGGCCGGGGCGAGGGAGGGCGUAUAAUAAACAGCAUCGUUGUCAUGCAGGCAGGGCUGCCGGCUCCCCAAGCCUCCUCCCCGCGAUAACAGCCCAGCACUGGUGUCUGCAGAGGAUGCAGUGAAUGAAUGAUGUUGCCAGUCUGCAGUGAAGAUAAUCACAUGCUGGAGCUCCAAAGAAAACUCAUCCCAUGGACGUGCAAGGGUGCAGCUCUCUUUUGUGUAUAGGCUGCAAAGGAUAAAUGAGUUGCCAAGAUAAGAACUCUACUCAGGUUUGGCCAGCUGCAGAUUCUUGAACAUACUUUGCAGACAGUUCCUCCAUCAAGCCGUGGUUAAGAUGCUGAGAAAGGAUGGGGAAGAUAAAGCAAAUUUCCCCGCUGAUAAAUGAAAAACCAAACCAAACGUUACACACAUCAACAGCGUGGAAAGCCACCUCAGGACAAGCAGCAAAGGAGUUUCUUAGUGUGCAUAACCCCGCCAGCCACUCGUCACAGCGUGCAAACCUGGGGUCUUCUGCUAUGUCACCUGUGUCCUGUUCCUAUCUCUUCUAUUACAAAGGGGAGCCCAUCUACCCCUUCUACACAGAAGUAGGAAAAACGAGUGAAGAGGGUGUCUUCCAAACACUUCAAGAGCAACUUCAGAUCACGAGAGUGAAUGAAGGGGCGUGAAGGCUUGCUAAUGUAUACGCUACAUGUAUAUAGGCCACUACCACACCACUGAGUUUUGCUUUCCCAAUAAUUCCCAGGAAACUAUAUUCUUAAGCUACUGAGAAGCUUUAAGCCAGUCCUGAUAAUUUCCCCCCCAUUCAUACGGGGAGAAAAAUAGCUACAUUCCUGGUUGACAAUUUUCAUAGAGAAAUAAUUCCAUCGAUUCAAAACUGUGGAUCAAUCUUCAAGAAAAGAGCGUAUGGACAUAAAAGGCCUAAUUUCAAAAGCACCCUCCAAAGUAAUGAAUAAAUUUUUAAAGGUACAUAAGUUUUGCAUGCAAUACUCCAUGAUCAUAGUUUUGCACACAUAUAUUGAACAUUUGUAUGCAAACCGUCUUGUACAUGGACCCUAUUCAUGCCGCUCUCUUGCACUUGCCAUUUUGUGAGAUGCUGCCUAUAUUGUGUCUGUAGAAGCCACACAGAUUAUUACAUUUGCCUCUGAAAUUCUGUCCCUGGCCACUUUACAAUUUUCGCUUUCCCUACUCAAAGCCCUUCUGCGAUCAGACUAUAAAUGCUCUGCAGCAUGGCCGCUUCUAUAAUCAACAUUACUGGAAGAUCCUGAAAUAAAACGAUUUAUUUUUACUUACAUCUAUCUAUAGCCAGUAUAGUUUUCUUUCCUUCUGCAUUUCCUUUUCCUGUAUGUAAAAAUGUAUCAGUGAUGAUUACGAUGAUUAGUAUUUUGCUUAUGCCCACAGUAAGCUGGUGCUUGUCUGUUAAAUAUUUUAAUAGAAUAUUGUUCUGAGUCACAAUUGAGCCAUUCCCCUGUGCAGGACGUGUCUGAGAGCACUGUCUGCAAUCACAGAGGUGCUUCAUGUCGGGCAGAAAGAGGCCACGAUGCUAUAUGUCCAUCCCGACGUGCAGAGAAAGGCACUUAGCCUGCCUAUUAGGAUAUUCUUAAUUACUGGAGAUAAGAAGCUCACUAGGGGAUCUCAAGCCUUCUCUGUAAUAAGCUUAGAAGGGAGAAGGGUGUGUAUCAUAGCUGGAGCAAGUUAUCUGUGCUCAGUUUCAUGAAUCUUCUUAUGUUAGACACUGGAGUGGUCUCCUAAUCAUGUUAAAUUAGAUGAUCUUUAAGGUGAUUGCUUUACAUGUUGCAGAGGUGUGAACACGUAUCCUAGAGGCAGAAAAGAUCAUAGCACUUCAGUUAAAAUAACUUCCUCCCUGGCUGGGAGCCUUCCACUACCAGCUGGAAAGGUUUGGGAUGGGAAUGCGUUGCUGCCAUUCCUCGUUCUCUACAGGCGUUUCAACCAAAGCUACAGCAGACAGAAGAUGCCUACAGUUAAUGCUGCUUAACAAUUUCAAACUCAAACCUUUGUUUUCCGUUGCUUGUAUAUUUUUCAUAAUGGAACCAUUAGAAUUUAAAUUUUCCAUGAUGAUCGUGUGACUAAAAAUCAAAACUCUUCUGACAAUGACAGUAGAAGAAAUAAAUGCAAAAUUACCAAA